rnacentral:tRNA from 1 species
UAAGGAUUUAAGUUAAAUAAAAACUAACAACCUUCAAAGUUGUAAAUAGACCCUCACCUCUAAGCCUUAA